CUCUUAUCCAGAGAGGUGGAGGGACUAGGCCCGAUGAAACCCGGCAACCUUCAUGUACGCAGCAGGCGUCACAUGAAAAGGUGCUAAUUCCUGCAGGCUAUCUGCCUGAAAGAUAAGAG
rnacentral:ncRNA from 2 species